CCUACGGGAGGCAGCAGUGGGGGAUAUUGCACAAUGGGGGGAACCCUGAUGCAGCGACGCCGCGGGAGGGAAGAAGGCCUUCGGGGGGUAAACCUCUGUCGCAGGGGACGAAGGAGAUGACGGUACCCUGUGAGGAAGCAACGGCUAACGACGUGCCAGCAGCCGCGGGAAUACGUAGGGGGCGAGCGUUGGCCGGAAGUACUGGGUGGAACGGGAGAGGAGGCGGGAUAUUAAGUUGAAUGUAGAACCUACCGGCUUAACCGAUAGACGCGUUCCAAACUGAUAUUCUUGAGUGAAGUAGAGGCCGGCGGAAUUCCUGGUGUAGCGGUGCACUGCGUAGUUAUUAGGCGGAACCCCAGUGGCGAAGGCGGCCUGCUGGGCUUUAACUGCCGCUGAGGCUCGAAAGCGUGGGUAGCAAACAGGAUUAGAUACCCGAGUAGUC
rnacentral:rRNA from 1 species